rnacentral:rRNA from 1 species
GAGAGUUUGAUUCUGGCUCAGGAUGAACGCUAGCGGCAGGCCUAACACAUGCAAGUCGAGGGAGAGGUUACCUUCGGGUAACUGAAACCGGCGCACGGGUGCGUAACGCGUAUACAAUCUGCCUUUCACAUAGGGAUAGCCCGAAGAAAUUUGGAUUAAUACCUAAUGGUAUAUAAGAGCGGCAUCGUUUUUAUAUUAAAGCUACGGUGGUGAAAGAUGAGUAUGCGUUCUAUUAGCUAGUUGGAGAGGUAACGGCUCCCCAAGGCGACGAUAGAUAGGGGUUCUGAGAGGGAUGUCCCCCACACUGGUACUGAGAUACGGACCAGACUCCUACGGGAGGCAGCAGUGAGGAAUAUUGGACAAUGGUCGGAAGACUGAUCCAGCCAUGCCGCGUGCAGGAUGAAGGUCCUAUGGAUUGUAAACUGCUUUUGUAAGGGAAGAAUAAGGAGUACGUGUACUUUGAUGACGGUACCUUACGAAUAAGCAUCGGCUAACUCCGUGCCCGCAGCCGCGGUAAUACGGAGGAUGCGAGCGUUAUCCGGAAUCAUUGGGUUUAAAGGGUCCGUAGGCGGGCUGAUAAGUCAGAGGUGAAAGCGCUUAGCUCAACUAAGCAACUGCCUUUGAAACUGUCAGUCUUGAAUGAUUGUGAAGUAGUUGGAAUGUGUACUGUAGCGGUGAAAUGCUUAGAUAUUACACAGAACACCGAUAGCGAAGGCAUAUUACUAACAUUUUAUUGACGCUGAUGGACGAAAGCGUGGGGAGCGAACAGGAUUAGAUACCCUGGUAGUCCACGCUGUAAACGAUGGAUACUAGCUGUUUGGAGCAAUCUGAGUGGCUAAGCGAAAGUGAUAAGUAUCCCACCUGGGGAGUACGCACGCAAGUGUGAAACUCAAAGGUAUUGACCGGGGGCCCGCAUAAACGGUGGAGCAUGUGGUUUAAUUCGAUGAUACGCGAGGAACCCUUACCAGGUCUUGACAUCCCUNUGANCCUCUCUAGAGAUAGAGAUUUCCUUCGGGAACANAGGUGACAGGUGGUGCAUGGUUGUCGUCAAGCUCGUGUCGUGAGAUGUUGGGGUUAAGUCCCGCAACGAGCGCAACCCCUAUUGUUAGUUGCCAUCAUUCAGUUGGGCACUCUAGCGAGACUGCCGGUAAUAAACCGGAGGAAGGUGGGGAUGACGUCAAAUCAUCAUGCCCCUUAUGACCUGGGCUACACACGUGCUACAAUGGCUGGUACAACGAGUCGCAAGCCGGUGACGGCAAGCUAAUCUCUUAAAGCCAGUCUCAGUUCGGAUUGUAGGCUGCAACUCGCCUACAUGAAGUCGGAAUCGCUAGUAAUCGCGGAUCAGCACGCCGCGGUGAAUACGUUCCCGGGCCUUGUACACACCGCCCGUCACACCACGAGAGUUUGUAACACCCGAAGUCGGUGAGGUAACCGUAAGGAGCCACGCCGCCUAAGGUGGGAUAGAUGAUUGGGGUGAAGUCGUAACAAGGUAGCCGUAUCGGAAGGUGCGGCUGGAUCACCUCCUUC